rnacentral:rRNA from 1 species
GACGAACGCUGGCGGCGUGCUUAACACAUGCAAGUCGAACGGAAAGGCCCUUCGGGGUACUCGAGUGGCGAACGGGUGAGUAACACGUGGGUGAUCUGCCCUGCACUUUGGGAUAAGCCUGGGAAACUGGGUCUAAUACCGAAUAGGACCACGCGCUUCAUGGUGUGUGGUGGAAAGCUUUUGCGGUGUGGGAUGGGCCCGCGGCCUAUCAGCUUGUUGGUGGGGUAAUGGCCUACCAAGGCGACGACGGGUAGCCGGCCUGAGAGGGUGACCGGCCACACUGGGACUGAGAUACGGCCCAGACUCCUACGGGAGGCAGCAGUGGGGAAUAUUGCACAAUGGGCGCAAGCCUGAUGCAGCGACGCCGCGUGAGGGAUGACGGCCUUCGGGUUGUAAACCUAUUUCAAUAGGGACGAAGCGCAAGUGACGGUACCUAUAGAAGAAGCACCGGCCAACUACGUG